rnacentral:lncRNA from 1 species
CGACAGGUGAAAGUGUCACGCCUUCUCUCGGCAGGUGAGUGAUGUAAUGCCGAGCUCUGCAUCCCGCGCGCCGCCGCACACAGAGAGUAGAGUAGAGUAGACUUUAGUUUUCUUCUGCACGUUUCAAGAAACAGGCAUGCACAGUUUGCUGAACGUACCUUCUUCCACGCGGACAUUCUAGGUUUUCCUUGAGCUUGCGGCUACAUGGUGAGGAUGGCAGCGAAGUUUUGAGAGUGCAUGUGCUCUGCAGCUGCGGUGCUCCCUGGAGCUGCUGUAGCGCUUGUCUGCGCCGCUGGAUGGCGGAGUGCAGGACGUCGCACGCUCAGCCGCCAUCAUGGUUAUACAUUUCUGCCGCUGAUAUGUCCGUCGGAAAAGAAGUAUUACAGUCCAAGGUCCUGCAAAGACUAUAUCCUGGAGCCCAAAAGCAGAGUAUGCUGCAACCUGCUGCCCAGGAGCGGAGCAUACUUGCACCUGUGCCACCUGUAAAAAGACCUCAGUCCAUCCCACCCAAGAAGUCAGGUAAUGAGAAGAGUACAGCUGUACAAGGCAAAAAGCUCUACACUGUUCUUCCUCCUCCUGAAGGCUACCUCAUUAAUAGUGGGGAGGAUUUGGUCGCACUAUCCAAUCCAGAUCCCACUGACUCCGAGGACAGCCCAGCCGAUGCUGAUGACCAUGAGUUAAGUAAGAAGAGGAAAAGGAGGAUAAAGAAAAAAGUGUUACCCAAUACCACAGAGGAAGUGUCCACCCCUCCAGCAGAGGGCGCUGUACUGGGCCAGACAGAUGCAGCACAUCCCAGUGAUGAAGGGGGCACUGGAAGCUCAGUCAGCACAGAGCAGCUCAGCAAGAACAGAAAGAGGAAGAUGAAGAAAAAACGUCACAAAGAGAAAGUCCAAGCUCUUGGAUUGGUGCCUUGA